AUGCACCGCCGCGGUGUCGACGGACGCUGUACAGCAGCUCCAGCGCCGCCCGCGUGCGUGCUCCGAGCCCAACGCGCAUCCGCCUCCAUUAGCCCGAGCAGUACGCCCCGCACUAGUCGCGCCGCCCGAUGCUUCUUCCGCCACCCAGGCCAGCCACUAGUCGCGCUGCCGGUCGGCCGCCUUCCGCUAGUCGCGCUGCCGGUCGGCCGCCUUCCGCUAGUCGCGCCGCCAGCCACUGGUCGCGCCCCGUUCGGCCGCCCGCCGCUGGGCCCGAUGCUGCAUCCGCCAUUGAUGGAGGCAGAUUGA
rnacentral:rRNA from 1 species